rnacentral:misc_RNA from 1 species
UUUCCGUAGGUGAACCUGCGGAAGGAUCAUUAUUGAAUGAAACACUUCUGGCUUUAUGCUGUUGUGCUGGCCCUUUGGGAAAUGUGCACACGGUUCUGGUCACUUGUUUCUUCUGUUCCACCUGUGCACUGCCUGUAGACACGCUGUUUCUAUGAUAUUUGUUAACACACAACAAUGUUAGUUGGCAUGUUAUAUAUAAUAAUAAAAUAUACAACUUUCAACAACGGAUCUCUUGGCUCUC